AUCUUCCUAAACUCUCUCUACUACAUGAGAAUAAGAUUCAGUUGUGACAAUGAAUCUAUAAGCUCCUGAAGUUCUCAGCAUAACAUAUAAAACACUGUUAAAUUAAAGAGAGCAAAGAAUAACACACUUGUUGAGAGUAAGUGUCAUGAUUGUUUCAGAAUCACAUUAAACCUGCAGUGAAUCAGACGAGAGACAUCACUCUCCUCUCCACAUCUCUCCUCUUUAACAUCAGUCUCACACAAAGAGUGUAAGAGUGUAAUUCUAGAAACUCACUCAGAGAUCCUCGAGGAUCAUCACAGAUCAGUGGAGAUUGUAACGGGUCGUUGAUUCCAUGGCAGAAGAAAUCAAUGAGAGGAAAGUCAGGCAGGUCAGUUAGAUAAGAAAUGUCCAGAAAGUCUCUGAUGGUCCUCGAGUGAAAGAGUUUCUUGGUGAAGCUGAAUUAAUACGACUAGAUCUAUCAAUGGUCUGGUGUUUUUGUAACGUGGCUGUUUCAGUAAAACAUAAUGUUGGAUCCAAGUGCAGUUUAAAGCUUAUUUAAACAAGACAACAGUAAAUCCAGCAAUGAACAAGAUAAACCAAAUACAGGAACUGAAACAAGCAAUGUGGCCUGACAUAUCCAAUCUUCUCAAUAACAGACUUGAUAAAUCUAUGAAAAACAAAUGCACAUUUAGAAAUAAUGAUUCAUAACCCAUGUCUUCAUGGCCUCUGUGAAAUAAAUUGCUGAUUUUGAUAAGCAAUACAGAUUUUUAUAUAUAAAAAAGUAUUUCCCUGAAUGUGUUCAGACGAUGUAAGUGUCAAUGCACUUUAAUGCUUUUGUUAGUCUAUCCAGCUGAACUCACUAGAUGCGGCGCUGCUACGUUGUUCAUUCAAUAUAUUGCUAAAAACGAGAGCAUCAGUGUGGAGAACAUUAUGCACUUUUUUCAAAGAUAGUCAUAUUAUUGAAUUAUGCUUUAAAGAAACAUGCAUAAGAUUUUGCUCGAUGCAUCCACUUGUGGCCUCAGGAGGAUUUUUUUUUAUUUUCCCUAACUGAAAUUUGUAAUUCUUUUUUUACUUUUAUUUUUUUUUUCUCUACAGAUUUACCCACAUCUACACUGACUGUGACUCCAGACAGUCCUGUAUUCACUGGAGAGAGAGUCAAUCUGACGUGUGUGAUAAACUCUGAUCACAGUGACUGGAGAUAUGAGUGGUAUAAAGGCAGUGUAAUGUUACAGACGUCUGAGCGUUACACUGUAAACAGAGACACUCUCACUAUCAGAGGAGCUACUGAGUCUGAUCAGGAUCAGUUCUGGUGUAGAGGACAGAGAGAUGGAAGACCAAACUCAUCACAGGAGAGUGAACGAAUAAAUCUGUCUGUUAAUGUCUCAGCAGCUUCAUCUUCUCUUCUGGUCACUGGUGUGGUUGUGGAGUACAUUUAGCAAAUUAUUUUAUUGGUCUGAGGUUGCUAAGGGGGAGGAGCAAUGCCUCAUUAUGAGACUGCUAGAAAAAAAGCAAUGUGUCCUGACAUAUCCAAUCUUCUCAAUAACAGACUUGAUAAAUCAAUGAAAAAACAAAUGCACAUUUAGAAAUAAUUAUUCAUAACCCAUGUCUUCAUGGCCUCUGUG
rnacentral:lncRNA from 1 species